GGUACAGGAAGCAGCUUGCUGCUUCGCUGACGAGUGGCGGACGGGUGAGUAAUGUCUGGGAAACUGCCUGAUGGAGGGGGAUAACUACUGGAAACGGUAGCUAAUACCGCAUAACGUCGCAAGACCAAAGAGGGGGACCUUCGGGCCUCUUGCCAUCGGAUGUGCCCAGAUGGGAUUAGCUAGUAGGUGGGGUAACGGCUCACCUAGGCGACGAUCCCUAGCUGGUCUGAGAGGAUGACCAGCCACACUGGAACUGAGACACGGUCCAGACUCCUACGGGAGGCAGCAGUGGGGAAUAUUGCACAAUGGGCGCAAGCCUGAUGCAGCCAUGCCGCGUGUAUGAAGAAGGCCUUCGGGUUGUAAAGUACUUUCAGCGGGGAGGAAGGUGUUGAGGUUAAUAACCUCAUCAAUUGACGUUACCCGCAGAAGAAGCACCGGCUAACUCCGUGCCAGCAGCCGCGGUAAUACGGAGGGUGCAAGCGUUAAUCGGAAUUACUGGGCGUAAAGCGCACGCAGGCGGUCUGUCAAGUCGGAUGUGAAAUCCCCGGGCUCAACCUGGGAACUGCAUUCGAAACUGGCAGGCUAGAGUCUUGUAGAGGGGGGUAAAAUUCCAGGUGUAGCGGUGAAUGCGU
rnacentral:rRNA from 1 species